UCACACUUUAAACCAUUUUGUCUCGUCAAGAAAUUCCCCGGUGUUCCUCUGCAUUGCAGUACAGUCAACACUGGCACAAUACAAAGUGGAACUGGCAAUGAACAGUGGGUUUCACAAAUUUGGAGGGGGUUCAAGUGGUACAGAAGGAAGUGUUAUCAUAGUGAUAUCUCCUCUCUAUCUUACAGUGUUGUUUUAAAAUAGCAGCUGAUUCAUCCGAAUAAAAUCCAACCAAGGCAAAAGGCUGUAGUGCCCACUAGUGCGCAGGAAUGUAAAUACAGGUAAGGCUGCGAGUU